UGAAUACGAGAUGCUACGGCGUCGAAGCAGUCUAUGUCAUACUUCCAAGAAAAGCUCGCACUGUCAUAAACAAAUAAUGCCUGUACCAUAACCGACACAGGUGGGUAGGUAGAGUAUACUAAGGGGCGCGAGAUAACUCUCUCUAAGGAACUCGGCAAAAUGACUCCGUAACUUCGGGAGAAGGAGUGCCUUAUUUAUAAGGUUGCAAUAACAAGAUCCAAGCAACUGUUUAUCAAAAACACAGGUCUCCGCUAAGUCGUAAGACGAUGUAUGGGGGCUGACGCCUGCCCAGUGCCAGAAGGUUAAAGAAGUUGGUUAGCAUUCGCGAAGCUGAUAACUGAAGCCCUGGUGAACGGCGGCCGUAACAAUAACGGUCCUAAGGUAGCGAAAUUCCUUGUCGGGUAAGUUCCGACCCGCACGAAAGGCGUAAUGAUUUGGAUACUGUCUCGGAGAGGGGCUCGGUGAAAUAGACUUGUCUGUGAAGAUGCGGACUACCUGCACCAGGACAGAAAGACCCUAUGAAGCUUUACUGUAACUUGAGAUUGAAAUUGGACUUUACUUGCGCAGUAUAGGUGGGAGGCGUUGAUAAUAUUCUUGCGGGAUUAUUUGAGCCAUCAGUGAGAUACCACUCUUGUAAUGUUAGAUUUCUAACUUUGUAUCAUUAUCUGGUCAAAGGACAGUUUCAGGCGGGCAGUUUGACUGGGGCGGUCGCCUCCUAAACGGUAACGGAGGCGCACAAAGGUUUCCUCUGAACGGGUAGAAAUCGUAUCUAGAGUGUAAAGGCAUAAGGAAGCUUGACUGUGAGACCUACAAGUCGAGCAGGGACGAAAGUCGGUCUUAGUGAUCUGACGGUGCUGAGUGGAAAGGCCGUCACUCAACGGAUAAAAGUUACUCUAGGAUAACAGGCUGAUCUCCCCCAAGAGUUCACAUCGACGGGGAGGUUUGGCACCUCGAUGUCGGCUCAUCGCAUCCUGGGGCGGUAGUACGUCCCAAGGGUUGGGCUGUUCGCCCAUGAAAGCGGUACGCGAGCUGGGUUCAGAACGUCGUGAGACAGUUCGGUUCAUAUCCGGUGUAGGCGUUAGAAUAUUGAGAGGAGCCUUCUUUAGUACGAGAGGACCGAGAAGGACAUACCUCUGGUGUACCAGUUAUCGUGCCAACGGUAAACGCUGGGUAGCUAUGUAUGGAGUGGAUAACCGCUGAAAGCAUCUAAGUGGGAAGCCCACCUCAAGAUAAGUAUUCUCAU
rnacentral:rRNA from 1 species